GGUGCUGAAGCAACAAAUGCCCUGCUUCCAGGAAAAGCCUCUAAGCAUCAGGUAACAUCAAAUCGUACCCCAAACCGACACAGGUGGUCAGGUAGAGAAUACCAAGGCGCUUGAGAGAACUCGGGUGAAGGAACUAGGCAAAAUGGUGCCGUAACUUCGGGAGAAGGCACGCUGACACGUAGGUGAAGUGAUUUACUCAUGGAGCUGAAGUCAGUCGAAGAUACCAGCUGGCUGCAACUGUUUAUUAAAAACACAGCACUGUGCAAACACGAAAGUGGACGUAUACGGUGUGACGCCUGCCCGGUGCCGGAAGGUUAAUUGAUGGGGUCAGCGCAAGCGAAGCUCCUGAUCGAAGCCCCGGUAAACGGCGGCCGUAACUAUAACGGUCCUAAGGUAGCGAAAUUCCUUGUCGGGUAAGUUCCGACCUGCACGAAUGGCGUAAUGAUGGCCAGGCUGUCUCCACCCGAGACUCAGUGAAAUUGAACUCGCUGUGAAGAUGCAGUGUACCCGCGGCAAGACGGAAAGACCCCGUGAACCUUUACUAUAGCUUGACACUGAACAUUGAGCCUUGAUGUGUAGGAUAGGUGGGAGGCUUUGAAGUGUGGACGCCAGUCUGCAUGGAGCCGGCCUUGAAAUACCACCCUUUAAUGUUUGAUGUUCUAACGUGGACCCGUGAUCCGGGUUGCGGACAGUGUCUGGUGGGUAGUUUGACUGGGGCGGUCUCCUCCUAAAGAGUAACGGAGGAGCACGAAGGUUGGCUAAUCCUGGUCGGACAUCAGGAGGUUAGUGCAAUGGCAUAAGCCAGCUUGACUGCGAGCGUGACGGCGCGAGCAGGUGCGAAAGCAGGUCAUAGUGAUCCGGUGGUUCUGAAUGGAAGGGCCAUCGCUCAACGGAUAAAAGGUACUCCGGGGAUAACAGGCUGAUACCGCCCAAGAGUUCAUAUCGACGGCGGUGUUUGGCACCUCGAUGUCGGCUCAUCACAUCCUGGGGCUGAAGUAGGUCCCAAGGGUAUGGCUGUUCGCCAUUUAAAGUGGUACGCGAGCUGGGUUUAGAACGUCGUGAGACAGUUCGGUCCCUAUCUGCCGUGGGCGCUGGAGAACUGAGGGGGGCUGCUCCUAGUACGAGAGGACCGGAGUGGACGCAUCACUGGUGUUCGGGUUGUCAUGCCAAUGGCACUGCCCGGUAGCUAAAUGCGGAAGAGAUAAGUGCUGAAAGCAUCUAAGCACGAAACUUGCCCCGAGAUGAGUUCUCCCUGAGACUUUAGGUCUCCUGAAGGAACGUUGAAGACGACGACGUUGAUAGGCCGGGUGUGUAAGCGCAGCGAUGCGUUGAGCUAACCGGUACUAAUGAACCGUGAGGCUUAACCUUACA
rnacentral:rRNA from 1 species